rnacentral:rRNA from 1 species
AUUGAACGCUGGCGGCAUGCCUUACACAUGCAAGUCGAACGGCAGCACGGGAGCAAUCCUGGUGGCGAGUGGCGAACGGGUGAGUAAAGUAUCGGAACGUGCCCAGUCGUGGGGGAUAACGUAGCGAAAGUUACGCCAAUACCGCAUACGAUCUAUGGAUGAAAGCGGGGGAUCGCAAGACCUCGCGCGAUUGGAGCGGCCGAUAUCAGACUAGGUAGUUGGUGGGGUAAAGGCUCACCAAGCCGACGAUCUGUAGCUGGUCUGAGAGGACGACCAGCCACACUGGGACUGAGACACGGCCCAGACUCCUACGGGAGGCAGCAGUGGGGAAUUUUGGACAAUGGGCGAAAGCCUGAUCCAGCCAUGCCGCGUGCAGGAUGAAGGCCUUCGGGUUGUAAACUGCUUUUGUACGGAACGAAAAGGUUUGGCCUAAUAAGCUGAGCUCAUGACGGUACCGUAAGAAUAAGCACCGGCUAACUACGUGCCAGCCGCCGCGGUAU